GUGCCUCGCCAAAAAAUGCUCCAGGGUGUCCCAUCCGCCGCCCACUCUCACCAUCAUGUGUCUUCCCUUGAGGAGCUGCGAACACGUCAGUGGCGCGGUUAUUAGCGGCUGACACGCUUACAACAACACGCAACAUGCUUGAGGGGAUUCCCACUAUUAGAGAAGAAAUGAGGAAUUACGACCGAAGAGAUAUCGAUUGGAGGCCCACCCAAAUAUUCCUGCGUCCAAUCUUAUGGAGCUGAAGACUGUUCGACGACUGAAAAGGAGAAUUCCGCGAGACCUCCUAACAUACUAGGUGCUUACAAAGCAAGACUGCUGCGGAAGCAAAACGUUUUCACGCCAGACAUUGAUUGACGCCCCCAUCUGAUUCUCAUUUAUUCAAAUCGAUACAACACGGCUUGUCCGGCACACGAUUUGCUAAUACUGAGGAAGCCCGGAAAUGGAUCGAUCAUUUCAUCGCCUCGAAAGAUGUAUCGUUUCUUUAGAAAUGAGAUCAGACAAUUACCUAAGAGAUGGCAGUGACGG